GGGUGAGUAACACGUGAGUAACCUGCCCCAGGCUUUGGGAUAACCCCGGGAAACCGGGGCUAAUACCGGAUAUUACUGGCUGCCGCAUGGUGGUUGGUGGAAAGAUUUUUCGGCUUGGGAUGGACUCGCGGCCUAUCAGCUUGUUGGUGGGGUAAUGGCCUACCAAGGCGGCGACGGGUAGCCGGCCUGAGAGGGCGACCGGCCACACUGGGACUGAGACACGGCCCAGACUCCUACGGGAGGCAGCAGUGGGGAAUCUUGCACAAUGGGCGGAAGCCUGAUGCAGCGACGCCGCGUGAGGGAUGACGGCCUUCGGGUUGUAAACCUCUUUCAGCAGGGACGAAGCGUUUGUGACGGUACCUGCAGAAGAAGCGCCGGCCAACUACGUGCCAGCAGCCGCGGUAAGACGUAGGGCGCGAGCGUUGUCCGGAUUUAUUGGGCGUAAAGAGCUCGUAGGCGGCUUGUCGCGUCGACUGUGAAAACCCGUGGCUCAACUGCGGGCUUGCAGUCGAUACGGGCAGGCUAGAGUUCGGUAGGGGAGACUGGAAUUCCUGGUGUAGCGGUGAAAUGCGCAGAUAUCAGGAGGAACACCGGUGGCGAAGGCGGGUCUCUGGGCCGAUACUGACGCUGAGGAGC
rnacentral:rRNA from 2 species